UGGGCACUGGAUGGGAAUGUGGGGACAGAAGACCCAGAUGGAGGCACAGAUAGAGGCAGGCUGAGGGGGACAAAGGGGGAGAAUCUCCAGGGGGCGGGGAAAAAAAAGAAAACAAAAGGAAAAAUGAGAAUGAAAAGUAAGAAAAAAAGAUGGAAAAAGAAAAAAAAAAAAUUGAAGUGCUGAAAACAGAGAAAAAAAGAGGCACAGAAGAGGAAAAAAAGUAAAAAGCAAUGCAUGUAUAUCAAGAGAAAGCAAGUAGGAAAGCUAACUGCAGCAGAGCAAAGGAAAGCAACCUUUCAGGAAUGUAGGAGUGUGGGAAGAGCAGAGCUCCUGGCACAGGAGCUGCGCGGCAGGAGAAGAAGCUGAGCCCAAAGUCCUCUACAAUGAACAGCCCUGUGGUGGUGAUGCAGAAUCUGCAUCUGAAGGACUGAGAGGAAGAACAUCAGAAGGCAGCAGCUGCAGUGUGUGGUGUUACAGGGCAGCGCUGCGAGUGCCACCCAACUUGGUACUCCAUGUCUUAUCUGGUUGUACUCAAUCAAUAAACGAUCACAAUUACGGACUCACAAA